rnacentral:rRNA from 1 species
CGCACGGGUGAGUAACACGUAUCCAACCUGCCGUCUACUCUUGGCCAGCCUUCUGAAAGGAAGAUUAAUCCAGGAUGGCAUCAUGAGUUCACAUGUCCGCAUGAUUAAAGGUAUUUUCCGGUAGACGAUGGGGAUGCGUUCCAUUAGAUAGUAGGCGGGGUAACGGCCCACCUAGUCAACGAUGGAUAGGGGUUCUGAGAGGAAGGUCCCCCACAUUGGAACUGAGCACGGUCCAA